rnacentral:rRNA from 1 species
GAUGAACGCUGGCGGCGUGCCUAACACAUGCAAGUCGAACGAGAUGCUUAUCGGAAAGCUUCGGCCGGAAGAUAAGUUAUCUAGUGGCGGACGGGUGAGUAACACGUGGGUAACCUGCCUUAUGGAGGGGGAUAACAGAGAGAAAUCACUGCUAAUACCGCAUAAGCACACAGUACCGCAUGGUACAGGGUGAAAAGAUUUAUCGCCAUAAGAUGGACCCGCGUCUGAUUAGCCAGUUGGCAGGGUAAAAGCCUACCAAAGCAACGAUCAGUAGCCGAUCUGAGAGGAUGACCGGCCACAUUGGGACUGAGACACGGCCCAAACUCCUACGGGAGGCAGCAGUGGGGAAUAUUGCACAAUGGGGGAAACCCUGAUGCAGCGACGCCGCGUGAGUGAAGAAGUAUUUCGGUAUGUAAAGCUCUAUCAGCAGGGAAGAUAAUGACAGACCU